rnacentral:rRNA from 1 species
CACCGCGGUUAUACGAGCGGGCCCCAGUUGACAGAAUCCGGCGUAAAGGGUGGUUAGUAAGAUUUUUACUAAAGCCGAACAUCUUCGAAGCUGUUAUAAGCCCUUGAAGACAGGAAGCCCGCCUACGAAGGUGGCUUUAAAAACUACGACACCACUAAAACUAGGGAACAAACUGGGAUUAGAUACCCCACUAUGCCUAGUCUUAAACAAAGACAAUGUUUCUUACAACCAUUGUUCGCCAGGGGACAACGAGCCCCAGCUUAAAACCCAAAGGACUUGGCGGUGCUUUAGACCCCCCUAGAGGAGCCUGUUCUAGAACCGAUACUCCCCGUUCAACCUCACCCCCUCUUGUUAAAUACCGCCUGUAUACCGCCGUCGUCAGCCCACCCUGUGAAGGGUAAAUAGUGAGCAGAAUCGGCAAAGCCUAAAACGUCAGGUCGAGGUGCAGCAUACGAGGGGGGAAGAAAUGGGCUACAUUUUCUGACCCAGCAAAUACGGAAGUUGCUCUGAAAAUACACCUGAAGGAGGAUUUAGCAGUAAGGGGCGAGUAGAGUGCCCCCCUGAAACCGGCCCUGAAGCGCGCACACACCGCCCGUCACUCUCCCCGACAAGUGCACCUUAUAAAUAAUUAAUCUAGACACGCAACAGAGGGGAGGCAAGUCGUAA